GAGUUACUUUGGAAUGUAAAUUGUAGUAGUUUCAGAUCAUUUCAGAUGAUAAAAAACGCGACAUGUAGCCCAGAAAAUACGGUUUAGCAAAUUAUUUCUCUGACACUUUGAAAACCCCUGUUCUAUAAUAUAAUGAAUCUGAACUAAUCCAUGUUUUACAGAUAAAACACAGACAGCUGUGAUAGUGACAGUGAUUUCUGUUUCUGUCGCUGCAUUUGCUGUUUUUCUUCUUGUUGUUCUCUGGCUGAUCUGCAGAAAAAGAGCUGAUAAUAAAAGGGGGACUGAUGAGUCAGUGGUCAAAGGUGAGAAUGAAGAUAAAGGGACGUAUGAAACAAUCAACAUGUCCAUUCCUGCUGCUGCUAGAGACAAUGAGCAGACAGAUGAUGUGACUUAUUCUGAAGUCUCUUCUUCCAGUAAAAAGCCAGUAAAAUCACUCAAUGAUCAUGAUGAUACAGUGACUUACGCUGCCAUCAGAUGAACAGAAAAUGAGCCGCGGGAUGAACUUUACGCUUCUGUGAACAAGAACAAAUAAACAUUAAUGACACAGAUCACUGCUGGAGCUCAUCAUAUCAGCAGCAGACGGGAAUUUUUUUCCCCCUCCCACAUGCUAAUAUUCACAACUGUGGUGUUUGGAAA